UAGCAUAUGCUUGUCUUGAAGAUUAAGCCAUGCAUGUCUAAGUAUAAGUUAUACAAGGCGAAACUGCGAAUGGCUCAUUAAAACAGUUAUAAUUUAUUUGACGAUAAACCUUACAUGGAUAACCGAGGGAAACUUCAGCUAAUACAUGCUAUUUUGUAUUUAUUAGUUACAUUUGAUGAUUCGUAAUAACUUAUCGAAGUGCCUAUGCACUACGUCAUUCAAGUUUCUGCCCUAUCAGCUUUGAUUGUAGUGUAUUGGACUACAAUGGCAAUAACGGGUAACGGAGAAUUAGGGUUCGAUUCCGGAGAAGGAGCCUGAGAAACGGCUACUAUGUCUACGGUAAGCAGCAGGCGCGUAAAUUACCCAAUCGUAAAUCACGGAGGUAGUUAAUAGAUAUACUCAGGUGUCUUUCACCUGGAAUGAAACAAACUUAAAUAGCUUGUUCAAUACUAUUGGAGGGCAAGUCUGGUGCCAGCAGCCGCGGUAAUUCCAGCUCCAAUAGCGUAUACUAAUAUUGCUGCAGUUAAAAAGCUCGUAGUUGAAAGUGCGAACAUUAGUGUUUGUAGCAGUUCAUCUGCAUUUUAUUAUGAAUAAAUUAGAGUGUUUCAGGCAGGCUUCGCUUGAAUACAUCAGCAUGGAAUAAUUGAAUAUGAUUUGAACCUCGUAAGGGUGAGAAUAAUGAUUAACAGAACAGUUGGGGGCAUUCGUAUUUAAUAGCUAGAGGUAAAAUUCUUGGAUUUAUUAAAGACGAACUAAAGCGAAAGCAUUUGUCAAGGAUGUUUUCAUUAAUCAAGAACGAAAGUUAGGGGAUCAAAGACGAUUAGAUACCGUCGUAGUCCUAACCAUAAACUAUGCCGACUAGGGAUUGGUAGUUAAUAAAACUAUCAGGACCUACGAGAAAUCAAAGUCUUUGGGUUCUGGGGGGAGUAUGGU
rnacentral:rRNA from 1 species